GACGAACGCUGGCGGCGUGCUUAACACAUGCAAGUCGAACGGAAAGGCCCUGCUUUUGUGGGGUGCUCGAGUGGCGAACGGGUGAGUAACACGUGAGUAACCUGCCCUUGACUUUGGGAUAACUUCAGGAAACUGGGGCUAAUACCGGAUAGGAGCUCCUGCUGCAUGGUGGGGGUUGGAAAGUUUCGGCGGUUGGGGAUGGACUCGCGGCUUAUCAGCUUGUUGGUGGGGUAGUGGCUUACCAAGGCUUUGACGGGUAGCCGGCCUGAGAGGGUGACCAGCCACAUUGGGACUGCGAUACGGCCCAGACUCCUACGGGCGGCAGCAGUGGGGAAUAUUGCACAAUGGGCGGAAGCCUGAUGCAGCAACGCCGCGUGCGGGAUGACGGCCUUCGGGUUGUAAACCGCUUUCGCCUGUGACGAAGCGUGAGUGACGGUAAUGGGUAAAGAAGCACCGGCUAACUACGUG
rnacentral:rRNA from 1 species